rnacentral:rRNA from 1 species
AGUGAACGCUGGCGGCGUGCCUAAUACAUGCAAGUCGAACGGAGUGGCGCACGGGUGAGUAAAGUAUAGCUAAUCCGUCCUACACUAGAGGACUACAGAUGGAAACGACUGCUAAUACUCUAUAGUGUAGGAUGAGGCGAUAUUGUAUCAGCUAGUUGGUGAGGUAUUGGCUCACCAAGGCUAUGACGCAUAACUGGUCUGAGAGGAUGAUGAGUCGCACUGGAACUGAGGCACGAGCCAGGCACCUACGAGAAGGAGCAGAAGGGAGUAGUACUCAAUGGGGGAGAACCUGGAGCAGCAACGCCGCGUAAAGGAUGACAAUUUGCGAGGCGUAAACUCCUUUUGAUAGGGAAGCGGUACCUAACGAAUAAGCACCGGCUAACUCCGUGCCAGCAGCCGCGGUAAUAC